UUCUUUUUUUACUCUCUUACAGGGUAAGGAGUAUGUGUUCGUUGCCAAUUCAGAUAACUUGGGUGCCCUAGUUGAUUUGAAAAUCUUAAAUCAUUUGAUCCAGAACAAGAAUGAAUACUGUAUGGAGGUGACUCCCAAGACAUUGGCUGAUGUGAAGGGUGGCACUCUUAUUUCUUAUGAAGGAAGGGUUCAG